AGAGUUUGAUCCUGGCUCAGAAUGAACGCUGGCGGCGUGCUUUACACAUGCAAGUCGAGCGAGGCCAGGUAGCAAUACCUGAGUCGAGCGGCGCACGGGUGAGUAACGCGUGGAUAACCUGCCUGAUGGUGGGGGAUAACCCGGGGAAACUCGGGCUAAUACCGCAUAACACCGAGAGGUCAAAGGGGGCCGCAAGGCUCUCGCCUGCAGAGGGGUCCGCGUCCGAUUAGCUAGUUGGCAGGGUAAUGGCCUACCAAGGCGACGAUCGGUAGCCGGCCUGAGAGGGUGAUCGGCCACACUGGAACUGAGACACGGUCCAGACUCCUACGGGAGGCAGCAGUGGGGAAUUUUGCGCAAUGGGCGAAAGCCUGACGCAGCAACGCCGCGUGGAGGAUGAAGGUCUUCGGAUUGUAAACUCCUGUCAGUGGGGAAAAAGGGAAACGGGCUCAUACCCCGUUUCAUUGAUUGUACCCGCAGAGGAAGCCCCGGCUAACUCUGUGCCAGCAGCCGCGGUAAUACAGAGGGGGCAAGCGUUAUUCGGAAUUAUUGGGCGUAAAGGGCGCGUAGGCGGCCCUUCAAGUGGUAGGUGAAAUCCCUCGGCUCAACCGAGGAGCUGCCCGCCAAACUGAAGAGCUUGAGUCCGGGAGAGGUGAGUGGAAUUCCCAGUGUAGCGGUGAAAUGCGUAGAUAUUGGGAGGAACACCAGUGGCGAAGGCGGCUCACUGGACCGGAACUGACGCUGAGGCGCGAAAGCGUGGGGAGCAAACGGGAUUAGAUACCCUGGUAGUCC
rnacentral:rRNA from 1 species